rnacentral:rRNA from 1 species
GCGAGUCUGAAUAGGGCGCAUAAGUAACAGGUCGUAGACCCGAAACCAGGUGAUCUACCCAUGUCCAGGAUGAAGGUAAGGUAAUACUUACUGGAGGUCCGAACCCACGCACGUUGAAAAGUGCGGGGAUGAGGUGUGGGUAGCGGAGAAAUUCCAAUCGAACUUGGAGAUAGCUGGUUCUCUCCGAAAUAGCUUUAGGGCUAGCCUCGAGGUAAAGAGUCAUGGAGGUAGAGCACUGUUUGGACUAGGGGCCCUUCUCGGGUUACCGAAUUCAGAUAAACUCCGAAUGCCAUGUACUUAUACUCGGGAGUCAGACUGCGAGUGAUAAGAUCCGUAGUCGAAAGGGAAACAGCCCAGACCACCAGUUAAGGUCCCCAAAUAUAUGUUAAGUGGAAAAGGAUGUGGGGUUGCUUAGACAACCAGGAUGUUGGCUUAGAAGCAGCCACCAUUGAAAGAGUGCGUAAUAGCUCACUGGUCGAGUGACCCCGCGCCGAAAAUGUACCGGGGCUAAACAUAUUACCGAAACUGUGGAUGAACCUCUUCGGAGGUUCGUGGUAGGAGAGCGUUCUAAGGGCGGUGAAGUCAGACCGGAAGGACUGGUGGAGCGCUUAGAAGUGAGAAUGCCGGUAUGAGUAGCGAAAGAAGGGUGAGAAUCCCUUCCACCGAAUAUCUAAGGUUUCCUGAGGAAGGCUCGUCCGCUCAGGGUUAGUCGGGACCUAAGCCGAGGCCGAUAGGCGUAGGCGAUGGACAACAGGUAGAGAUUCCUGUACCAGUGCUAAUUGUUUAACCGAUGGGGUGACACAGAAGGAUAGGGAAUCGCACGAAUGGAAAUGUGCGUCCAAGCAGUGAGUGUGAGAAGUAGGCAAAUCCGCUUCUCGCGAAGCAUGAGCUGUGAUGGGGAAGGAAAUUAAGUACGGAAGUUCCUGAUUUCACGCUGUCAAGAAAAGCCUCUAGGAAGAGUAGUACUGCCCGUACCGCAAACCGACACAGGUAGAUGAGGAGAGAAUCCUAAGGUGAGCGAGAGAACUCUCGUUAAGGAACUCGGCAAAAUGACCCCGUAACUUCGGGAGAAGGGGUGCUCUAUUAGGGUGCAAGCCCGAGAGAGCCGCAGUGAAUAGGCCCAGGCGACUGUUUAGCAAAAACACAGGUCUCUGCAAAACCGUAAGGUGACGUAUAGGGGCUGACGCCUGCCCGGUGCUGGAAGGUUAAGAGGAGUGCUUAGCUUCGGCGAAGGUACGAAUUGAAGCCCCAGUAAACGGCGGCCGUAACUAUAACGGUCCUAAGGUAGCGAAAUUCCUUGUCGGGUAAGUUCCGACCCGCACGAAAGGCGCAACGAUCUGGGCACUGUCUCAACGAGAGACUCGGUGAAAUUAUAGUACCUGUGAAGAUGCAGGUUACCCGCGACAGGACGGAAAGACCCCGUGGAGCUUUACUGCAACCUGAUAUGGAAUGUUUGUACCGCUUGUACAGGAUAGGUAGGAGCCGAAGAGACGUGUGCGCUAGCAUACGAGGAGGCAAUGGUGGGAUACUACCCUGGCUGUAUGACCAUUCUAACCCGCCACGCUUAGCGCGUGGGGAGACAGUGUCAGGUGGGCAGUUUGACUGGGGCGGUCGCCUCCUAAAGAGUAACGGAGGCGCCCAAAGGUUCCCUCAGAAUGGAUGGAAAUCAUUCGCAGAGUGUAAAGGCACAAGGGAGCUUGACUGCGAGACUGACAAGUCGAGCAGGGACGAAAGUCGGGCUUAGUGAUCCGGUGGUUCCGCAUGGAAGGGCCAUCGCUCAACGGAUAAAAGCUACCCCGGGGAUAACAGGCUUAUCUCCCCCAAGAGUCCACAUCGACGGGGAGGUUUGGCACCUCGAUGUCGGCUCGUCGCAUCCUGGGGCUGUAGUCGGUCCCAAGGGUUGGGCUGUUCGCCCAUUAAAGCGGCACGCGAGCUGGGUUCAGAACGUCGUGAGACAGUUCGGUCCCUAUCCGUCGCGGGCGCAGGAAAUUUGAGAGGAGCUGUCCUUAGUACGAGAGGACCGGGAUGGACACACCGCUGGUGUACCAGUUGUUCCGCCAGGAGCAUCGCUGGGUAGCUAUGUGUGGCAGGGAUAAACGCUGAAAGCAUCUAAGCGUGAAGCCCCCCUCAAGAUGAGAUUUCCCAUUUCUUCGGAAAGUAAGAUCCCUGAAAGAUGAUCAGGUAGAUAGGUUUGGAGUGGAAGUGUAGCGAUACAUGGAGCGGACAAAUACUAAUCGAUCGAGGACUUAACCAAAA